CUAGGCAAAAGAGAAUUUGUGUGUGUAAAUAUUUGUGUAGUUAUGAAAGGUUUUAAGGACCUAAAACAACACUCAAUGGUUUGUAAAAUCCCGUUUAUAGGUUUAAAAUAAAUGGGUUGGUUUAUUUUUUUAUUAAAUAAAAAACAGUGCCAUUAAAACUCUAUUUGAAUCUGUCAUUCAGAGUUGCAACACUGACAGACCCUUCUGCCAGACACAGGCAGCUAGUGUGAUGUGGCUCUGGUAUUUAGCAUUUAAUCCUUUGGAUACUUCCAUGUUUUUAUAAAGUUUGAUAUCUUUUUAAAAUGAAGACCAGAGAAUGUGGCCCUGGCAAUGGGAAGAAAUUCUUUUUUGUUUUUGUAAUAAAUAGCAGCUAAGAACUGCAGGAGGGGCACAAAAGGUUAAAAAACAGUGCACCUUUGAAGCAAGGGCAGUGGUGGAAUGUAAAAAAGAAGCAAUGUCAGAAACACUGAACUUUAAGGUGGCUCUGAAUAAUCAAACUGUCACUAUGUUAAACCUUGGGAUAAAUGCUAGUGAGUGACCCUGUAACAAUGUAUAAUGUAUGUGAUUUUUUUGAGGAAAAUUUUUAAGCAUGCUAAAAAUGGUAAUUGAAAGCAAAUCUCAUGUUCAAAGGUCUCAUGGUAAUGCUGGCCUAUUUUCUCAGCUAUUACCUGUGAAUAAAUUUAAAGCUUGGCACAGAGAACCCAUUACAAACAUGGUCUGUUGUACAAGGGAAAUUGAGGUACACCACCUCAUAAAUGAACAGUGGGAUAGUUCACCCUUUCCCUUCAGGAUAGAAGUCAUUGAAACCUGGCUUGCUUAUAGAAUAAAACACAGGGAAGUAUGGAGGUAAUUCUUCUGUUUUUCCUGCAAUCAGCAAGGAGAUUUGUAAAAGGAAGGGGUAUUUUUAAGCAAUAAUCUUAGGGGCUAGCAAAUGUUUCUUUUGUUUUUCAGACACUCUACAGGCAAGCUGGUGCCAGCAGAAGAACAACCCAGAACGCUAUGGGUCUACUGUCACGACAAAGACUGUGUGGUAAUAUGGAUGCCAAGAUGGAAAAAUCCUAAUUUAAACUGGCUGCAGCCUGAGGCCAAAAAUACUUCCCGACAGGCGAAUGUGUGGGAGCCACUGUGGGAGCAGGUGCAAGCAAUGCUUUUCAACAUGGCCUUUUCAGUCCAUUACAUGGGGGUACACUGCAGAGAAUGCUCUGACACUACUGUUUUGUUUGAUGCUGGAGAGCUGCUGGAGCCCUGAGGAGGAGAAGAGGAGGACCACCUGAUGCUGGGGGAUUGCACAGAGAUUCUGAAGACCACCGUGGAGGGGGCACUUAAGGACUGAGUAAUUUUCAAACUGUGCUCUUGUGGUGUGGGUCCGGACUGUGUUU